rnacentral:rRNA from 1 species
UGGGGAAUAUUGCACAAUGGGGGAAACCCUGAUGCAGCGACGCCGCGUGGAGGAAGAAGGUCUUCGGAUUGUAAACUCCUGUUGUUGAGGAAGAUAAUGACGGUACUCAACAAGGAAGUGACGGCUAACUACGUGCCAGCAGCCGCGGUAAAACGUAGGUCACAAGCGUUGUCCGGAAUUACUGGGUGUAAAGGGAGCGCAGGCGGGAGAACAAGUUGGAAGUGAAAUCCAUGGGCUCAACCCAUGAACUGCUUUCAAAACUGUUUUCUUGAGUAGUGCAGAGGUAGGCGGAAUUCCCGGUGUAGCGGUGGAAUGCGUAGAUAUCGGGGAGGAACACCAGUGGCGAAGGCGGCCUACUGGGCACCGAACUGACGCUGAGGCUCGAAAGUGUGGGUAGC